GCCAAAAACUGUCAAAGUGAGACAAAUGAAGAAAAAAGAAAAAAAUCUAAAUUUAUAAAGUUAAUUUUUAAUUACGUUAAUAAGUAAAAAUGGCCAGUGAAAAUCUUAUAAAAAAAGAAGCCGACCGAAUAGAGUUGUGGCGAAAAAAAAUACCACAGAUUCGAAAGAGCAGGCAUAUCUACAUAUGAAGAGAUAGUGAUAGAGUAGAUUGAAUACUGUUGGCCAUAAUUAUACGGCCACAGAAAUUAAAAUAAAAAUACAAAAUUUCUCAAAAAAAUACAGCCAAGAGAACAGAACAACAACAGUGUGGAAACAUUUUGCUGCGGUUCACGAAGCAGUAAACGGCUACAAAAGAUUUUGCUCGGGCGAGCUGGUGGAGGACAGCAUAACGGUUGAGAUUGACAACAUAGUCAAUUUAUGUGGGGCUGAAAUCGAAUGAGAAUCGCCACUGCCAAAUUCUGCCUGAUAUGGCUGUCUUCCGAUACCUUUCGGCCGAUGAAAAAUGCCAUUUUUUUACGUGUACAAAUAUAUAUGUAUGAUCAAGUCCUGUCAAGCUAUCAUAUUAUUUUUGUUCAGCAUUCUUUGGCAUUUUAUCAUGGAAAGACCUGAGCAACGUUUACUUAUCGUUUAACUUUAUUACUAAAAUUCUCGUUCUGUAAAUAAUGUGUUUCGCAUGUUUCGCGUAUCUUAUAGUCAACAUAGUCGGCCUACUGAGCGUACUACUCGCAACACCAUCACCCAUCUUGAGACCUCAUUAUUGAUUGAUAUUCAACCGAAUAGACCACUACCAGAACGCGGUGAAGAAAAUAUAGCGGCCGUAGCUGAGAGUGUACACGAAGACCGUGGAGAGUCGAUUCGGCGCCGGUUUAGAGACCGGUGGAAUCAUCGGUCCAUAUUUCAUCAAAAAUGAUGUCUGUGAAAACGUAACCGUCAAUGGCGACCGUUAUCGCGCUAUGAUAACCGACUAUUUGACCGACUGAAAUUGAAUCUCGUGAUCUCGGUGACAUUUGGUUUCAACAAGAUCGCAUCAAUCAACAAAUUUAUUGAGAAAACACUUCGGUGAGCUGAUAAUUUUACGUUUUGGGCCGGUCGAUUGGAAACCAAGAUCGUGUGAUUUCUUUUUCCUGUGGGGAUAUGUAAAGUCUAAAGUUUAUGCGGACAAUCCCGCUUCUAUUCAGAUCUUGGAGCAAAACAUCACCAGUGUCAUUCGCUAGUUACCAGUCGAAAUGCUCGAACGGGUCAUCGAAAAUUGGACUCAACGGAUGGGCCAUUUGAGACGUAGCCACGGCAAACAAAAUAAAUGCCAAGGAAUGUUCUUUCGAAUGAUAAUAAACAUUCCCCAUUAAACUUUAGUUUUCUGUGUUUUUAUGUAUGAUAUAGUUCGUAAUAUCUAAGUAUGUAUGUACAGCGUGCGUAUUAUUUUAAAUUAUCUGUGUUUGAGAACUGGAAACGUAUGUAUAUGUACCAUAAAUAUGGAUCAGUUGC